UUGGCCUGGAUUUAAUUGGCCCACUGCGAGAAACUGGUCAAAAAAACAAGUAUGUGUUGACCAUGACUGAUUUAUAUACAAAGUGGGUUGUUGCUGAGCCACUGCAAAAUAAGACUGCAACUGAAGUGUCAGCAGCCAUCAUAAAGACACUCUACUUGUUCGGCAUGGUCAAGAAAAUUAUUACUGACCAAGGGAGAGAGUUUGUUAAUGAGCUGAAUGAAAACAUCUUUGCAACUCUGAAAAUCAAACAUGCUGUCUCAAGUGCCUACCACCCUCAGACAAAUGGGCAGGAUGAGCGAACAAAUCAAAAUGUCAAACGUGUAUUGCGGAAGUAUGUAAAUGAAAGCCAUAAUGAUUGGGACAUCCAUUUACCUGCAGUUGUGUAUGGUAUUAACACU